GGAAGGAUCAUUAUCGAACAGAAUGUGAGAGGCAUGCGAGCGCUGUCGCUGACCCAAAAGUCGUGCACGCCCGAGUGUGUUCUCUCACAUGAUCAAUCCAUCUCACCCUUUUGUGCAUCACCGCGUGGGCACCCUUCGGGAUCGUCUCGGAGGGGGCUCGCGUUUUCACACAAAACCCCCCUUUUAAAAAAAGUGUAGAAUGACCUCAUUUAUGCGCUAACCCGCAAUCAAUACAACUUUCAACAACGGAUCUCUUGGCUCUCGCAUCGAUGAAGAACGCAGC
rnacentral:misc_RNA from 1 species